UACGGAAGGCAGCAGUGGGGAAUAUUGCACAAUGGGCGCAAGCCUGAUGCAGCCAUGCCGCGUGUAUGAAAAAGGCCUUCGGGUUGUAAAGUACUUUCAGUCGUGAGGAAGGUGUUAAGGUUAAUAACCUUAGCAAUUGACGUUAGCGACAGAAGAAGCACCGGCUAACUCCGUGCCAGCAGCCGCGGUAAUACGGAGGGUGCGAGCGUUAAUCGGAAUUACUGGGCGUAAAGGGCACGCAGGCGGUUAAUUAAGUUGGAUGUGAAAUCCCCGGGCUUAACCUGGGAAUGGCAUUCAAGACUGGUUAGCUAGAGUCUUGUAGAGGGGGUAGAAUUCCAUGUGUAGCGGUGAGAUGCGUAGAGAUGUGGAGGAAUACCGGUGGCGAAGGCGGCCCCUGGGACAAAGACUGACGCUCAUGUGCGAAAGCGUGGGGAGCAAACGAGGAUUAGAUACC
rnacentral:rRNA from 1 species